rnacentral:rRNA from 1 species
AACGAACGCUGGCGGCAUGCCUAACACAUGCAAGUCGAACGAGACCUUCGGGUCUAGUGGCGCACGGGUGCGUAACGCGUGGGAACCUGCCCUUAGGUUCGGAAUAACUCCCCGAAAGGGGUGCUAAUACCGGAUAAUGUCUUCAGACCAAAGAUUUAUCGCCUUUGGAUGGGCCCGCGUUGGAUUAGCUAGUUGGUAGGGUAAAAGCCUACCAAGGCGACGAUCCAUAGCUGGUCUGAGAGGAUGAUCAGCCACACUGGGACUGAGACACGGCCCAGACUCUUACGGGAGGCAGCAGUGGGGAAUAGUGGACAAUGGGCGAAAGCCUGAUCCAGCACUGCCGCGUGAGUGAUGAAGGCCUUAGGGUUGUAAAGCUCUUUUACCCGGGAUGAUAAUGACAGUACCGGGAGAAUAAGCCCCGGCUAACUCCGUG